GAUGAAGAACGCAGUGAAAUGCGAUAAGUAAUGUGAAUUGCAGAAUUCAGUGAAUCAUCGAAUCUUUGAACGCACAUUGCGCCCGCCAGUAUUCUGGCGGGCAUGCCUGUCUGAGCGUCAUUUCAACCCUCAUGCCCCUAGGGCGUGGUGUUGGGGAUCGGCCAAAGCCCGCGAGGGACGGCCGGCCCCUAAAUCUAGUGGCGGACCCGUCGUGGCCUCCUCUGCGAAGCAGUGAUAUUCCGCAUCGGAGAGCGAUGAGCCCCUGCCGUUAAACCCCCAACUUUCCAAGGUUGACCUCAGAUCAGGUAGGAAUACCCGCUGAACUUAAGCAUAUCAAUAAGCGGAGGA
rnacentral:misc_RNA from 1 species